rnacentral:pre_miRNA from 1 species
AUUGAUGGGACAAGAAGUGGAAGUUUUGGGCGGCUUAGGAGCACCAAAACUCAAGUCCAUUUCUUGAGCCUAAAUGU